AAAUGGCAACCACCACCCGCUCCUUCCACACAUCCCAUCCUAUCUCAAGAUUCUCUGCUGUUUCAGGCAGAUUUCAUCAGGUCUCUUCUCCAGCCCCUACCCACCUCCCAAUUCCCGCGCAGCUCGGCUGUGUUCUCUCAUUCUCCCCUGGGCGGAACUGAUGGCGAAGAUCCGCCAACCGCGCAGUCGGUGGCAGGAGAGACUGCAGCGGGUGAGCUAGGGGCUGCUAGACAAAGCAGGGAGAGAGUGAAACUUCAGCCUAGUCCGCUUUCCACUGCCGCGGCUGGGGCAAGUCAACCCGCGCCUGUAACGUUUUGGCUUGACUUGCUGAUGUGCUGGCUGGGAUGGCGUGGGGAGAGGGAGGAGGCGGGUCUACCCUGGGACAGUCAUCCUUCAGUUGGUCUCCUGGACUCUCCCUUCGUCUUCCUGCCCCCCAGCCUGACCUGGCUCUUUCGCCCCUCGGAUAACCGAUUACAGACCCCUGGCCAGAGUAAGAGCCCUAGAGGACACAUUGAGGCCUUCAGGAGAAUGUCAAACAGGAGACUCACUGCUUAUGGUCUUGAGAUGACUGGUUGACAAAGAGGAAAUGAGAAUGUUAAAAGGAGGAAAGUAUAGAACUGUAGGUUAUCAUAUGUAUCACUUAUUCUAACCAUCACUUGUGUGGUUCCAUCGUAUUUUUCUAUGUAAGUUUUCACUUGUAGUCCUAUUUCUUACUUAUUUGAAAAUCAUGUUAAUUAUUGGUAUUAGUAGCAUCUUUGUCAGAUAAAAAGGAGAAACAAAAAUGAAUGGUUUAUGAUGACAUGUGGGAG
ensembl:lncRNA